rnacentral:tRNA from 1 species
GGACACGUAGCUCAGUUGGAUAGAGCGUUGCCUGUACUAAAGCCUUCCCUUUUCUGCCAUGGGUUCAAAUUCCAUCGAGUCCG